rnacentral:tRNA from 2 species
GCCGGGGUGGCGGAACUGGCAGACGCACAGGACUUAAAAUCCUGCGAAGGGUAACCUUCGUACCGGUUCGAUUCCGGUCCUCGGCAUCA